rnacentral:misc_RNA from 1 species
AAACCUUGGCAUCAGAAAAUGUAAACCGAGGAAAGAAGUUGACUGUGUUACAACACAAGAACUGACAAUGCGCCCAGCUAGUCAAAGUAAAGCUGCAUCUAGAUUAGAGAUACUGGGUAUACUACCCUGGUACACCCUUCAAUUUAUUUGUGUGUAAACAUAAGGGGUGGAGUAGUGGAACUAGAUAUGGUACAAGUCCAGGCCAGCCAACUAUUUUGGGCUG